rnacentral:rRNA from 1 species
GAUGAACGCUGGCGGCGUGCUUAACACAUGCAAGUCGAACGAAGCACCUUGAUUUGAUUCUUCGGAUGAAGAUUUUGGUGACUGAGUGGCGGACGGGUGAGUAACGCGUGGGUAACCUGCCUCAUACAGGGGGAUAACAGUUAGAAAUGACUGCUAAUACCGCAUGAGACCACAGCACCGCAUGGUGCAGGGGUAAAAACUCCGGUGGUAUGAGAUGGACCCGCGUCUGAUUAGGUAGUUGGUGAGGUAACGGCCCACCAAGCCGACGAUCAGUAGCCGACCUGAGAGGGUGACCGGCCACAUUGGGACUGAGACACGGCCCAG